rnacentral:lncRNA from 1 species
CCAGGAGCCUGAGUGGCGCGGGGGUGCCGCCCAGCCGCCCAGAGACGGCGUCCUCGAGCCGAAAGCAGCUAAAGAGCAGCCAAAGGCAGGCAAGGAGCCGGCGAAGCCAUCACCCAGCAGGGACAGGAAGGAGACGUCCAUCUGAGCGGCCUGCGCGGCCGUCUGGAGUCCGCGAGACUGAAAGGACCCGUGCAUCUCACUGUAACCGGGGGCCAGGCCGGCUCUCCGCUGUACAUUCUGUAAAGAAUCAGGAUCUCUUUGUCAUUCAAGGGGGGAACCACACCAGGUCAGCGCUGCGCCUGCUGUGGCCGCCGGGAGCCACGCCCUCCGGGAUCUCUGUUCCAAACCGCAGUCCAUAAGCCCGAGUCACCAGGACGGCCUCUCUGGCCACAGACGGGCUGCCUGUGGAGCCCGCCCACCCGCCCCGGGCAGCGCAGGCCUGCGGGGAGGAGGCCGCCCGUUCCCGCGGGUUCCUCACUGCGGGGACCAGCAAAGGCCGCCUCACUGGGUUGGUCAAAGGUAGUCACCUUGGCCUGGUGCAUCCACAGAGGAUGUUGCUCAAACCAGAAAUCUUUUAAACGACUGACCUUCCUUAAAAACGGAAUGACUGAUUGCUUGCUUGGGCUAGAAUGUACACGUCUCCUUGCCUGAAUAAGCCAUAUAUAUGCUCUUAAACAAAAGUUUGAAAUUAGCCGUAUCGUCUCAGUGAACCUACUGGUGGACUGACUCCCAAUUGACAAGAUUGAGCAAUAGAAAAAAAUUCCUUUCCUUUGAAUAGUAACUGUGAUUCGCCCCACCCCAUUUUCUUGUUUCUGGUCCAUCCAAUGAGACAUGAGACGGAUGCUCUGAUGCUCUGAGGCUUCUGGGAGGCUGGGCCCUGGAGGCGCCGUGCUGCAGGUGCGCUGUCAGAGUGAAUAGCACCCUGGUGAGACAGGCCAGGCUCGUGGCUCGGAAGACAAACCCCACACACACUCAAGGGGACGAAAGCAAACCCCACACGAGGGCUCCUCCUCCUCCUCCUCCAGGUAGUAUUUAUUUUCAGCACCCGUUUGAUGCAGUUUUUAAUCCUCUACCUAUUGCACUGUUGUGACUCGUUGGCCAUUAUUUGAUUUUUGUACAAAAAAAAGCUUUGUUAGAGAAAUCAGCAUACUAUUUUUUUAAAUCUGGAGAGAAGAUAUUCUGGUGACUGAAAGUAUGGUCGGGUGUCAGAUAUCAAUGUGCAAAUGCCUUCUUGCUGUCCUGUCGGUCUCAGUACAUUCACUUUGUAGCUGCUGGCAAUAUCGAAGGUUCCUUUUUUGUUUCUGUAAACUCUAAUUUCUAUCAAGGUGUCAUGGAUUUUUAAAAUUAGUAUUUCAUUACAAAUGUCUCAGCAUUGGUUAACUAAUUUUUGCCAGGACCAUUAUUGAUCAAGCAAAUAAACUCAACAGCCAUUUGGGAAAAAAAAAAAAG